AUUGAACGGUGGCGGAAUGCUUUACACAUGCAAGUCGAACGGUAGAGGGGGCAACCCCUUGAGAGUGGCGAACGGGUGAGUAAUGUAUCGGAACGUGCCCAGUCGUGGGGGAUAACGUAGUGAAAAUUACGCUAAUACCGCAUACGAUCUAUGGAUGAAAGCGGGGGAUCGCAAGACCUCGCGCGAUUGGAGCGGCCGAUAUCAGAUUAGGUAGUUGGUGGGGUAAAGGCUCACCAAGCCAACGAUCUGUAGCUGGUCUGAGAGGACGACCAGCCACACUGGAACUGAGACACGGUCCAGACUCCUACGGGAGGCAGCAGUGGGGAAUUUUGGACAAUGGACGCAAGUCUGAUCCAGCCAUUCCGCGUGCAGGACGAAGGCCUUCGGGUUGUAAACUGCUUUUGUACGGAACGAAAAAGCUCUUAUUAAUACUAGGAGUCCAUGACGGUACCGUAAGAAUAAGCACCGGCUAACUACGUGCCAGCAGCCGCGGUAAUACGUAGGGUGCAAGCGUUAAUCGGAAUUACUGGGCGUAAAGCGUGCGCAGGCGGUUAUAUAAGACAGAUGUGAAAUCCCCGAGCUUAACUUGGGAACUGCAUUUGUGACUGUAUAGCUAGAGUACGGCAGAGGGGGAUGGAAUUCCGCGUGUAGCAGUGAAAUGCGUAGAUAUGCGGAGGAACACCGAUGGCGAAGGCAAUCCCCUGGGCCUGUAC
rnacentral:rRNA from 1 species